rnacentral:rRNA from 1 species
CAAUAGCGUAUAUUAAAGUUGUUGCAGUUAAAAAGCUCGUAGUUGAAACUUGGGCCUGGCUGGCGGGUCCGCCUCACCGCGUGCACUCGUCCGGCCGGGCCUUCCUUCUGAAGAACCUCAUGCCCUUCACUGGGCGUGCUGGGGAAUCAGGACUUUUACUUUGAAAAAAUUAGAGUGUUCAAAGCAGGCCUUUGCUCGAAUACGUUAGCAUGGAAUAAUAAAAUAGGGCGUGCGUUUCUAUUUUGUUGGUUUCUAGAGACGCCGCAAUGAUUAACAGGAACAGUCGGGGGCAUCAGUAUUCAGUUGUCAGAGGUGAAAUUCUUGGAUUUACUGAAGACUAACUACUGCGAAAGCAUUUGCCAUGGAUGUUUUCAUUAA